rnacentral:lncRNA from 1 species
AUGGGGACUUUGCGACUAGCAAAGUGUAUGCUGAGUUGUCUGCUACACUGGGUCGUGACUUUGUGAAAUUGAGGUUACCAGUACUUAGCUACCAUGAAGAUAUAUUAUACGUCUGUCUUGAUUAUCUGCAUAGCUCUCCUCACUGGUACAGAGUGCACCAAAGGGAAAAAAAUCAAUGAUUCUUUUGAGUGUUUAGAUGCAGGAGGUAGAUGUGAAAAAAAGGAGUGCUUCUUAUCAAAAAAGAUUGGCAAUUGUUCCAAGAAAGAGAUAUGUUGCAAAGGGAAUUCAUGGGACUGAAGUUACAAGGACUUGAAAUCUACAUCUAAAAGAAGCUGCAGGAACUAAUGACUGAGACCAAUGACUGAGAUCCAACCCUUUUUUCAUUAAUCAAUUGCAUAGCUAUCCACAUCAUUGAAAUUGCUUCUGUCUCCUUGCCUUCUAUAGAUGUGGAGAAGGAAGAUUCAAGCUAAUUCUUAUGAUUCCCUAAUACUUUCCUUCUUACUGCUUGGAUGUGGUUCUGCACAAAGUUGUUCGCAUAUUUUAACAAAUAAAGUGCAACGGGUCUAUCUAUGAACACAGAACUUAGGCCAAAGUUUUAUAUGCAUGACAUUCAACAUACUGGUUCUUCCCGCUU